ACUAGUCGCCAGAGCUAGCUAGCAGCUGUGCUCACAGCAGAGAGGACUACAAUGCCAGGGGCUUGCAAUGAGGGAAUGGAGAGCAGCCUUCCCCACCCGAAGGCACAAAGAGGCCAGAUUUUGUCAACGAGGCACAAGCUAGAGACAACUGGCAAGAGAAAAUCACAACUGACAAAAGGUCCCCAUCAGGAUGAACCUGGAACACCGAAGCCUGAUGUGAAUGAUAUGUCUGUUUAGGGUUCUAGUUCAAUCAACUAUGAUUACCCAAUUACUAGACCCCAUUUAAGAAGCACCCUUCAGUCUCUUCUAACCAGGGAGCCAGCCUCUGAGAAGUCUCCUUGGAAGAUGAUGGUCUUGCUUCCUAGCUCAUUCAACAAACUGAAGCCAUCCCCAGCCUCUGCCACCACACCCUCCAGCCUGCCUUCCCACCUUCCACUGAGAAUGAACUGUCACGUCCCAGCCAACACCGUCCCCACUCAUCCAUCCGUGCACAGCUGGCUCCCGCGGUCCUUUCCCUUCCCUGCACAGCCAAUUAUUCCCUCCGCUCUGCUGCACUCUGCUGCAAAUGAACCUCUCAUUUUUUCCCAUCUCAAAAAUUAUAGCCUGCGCGCGGCAGCACACACCUAUGAUUCCCAGCUCUUAGAAGGCAGACUGGAAAGAGGAGGAGUUCAAGGUCGUCCUUAGCUACAUAGCAAGCCUGAGGCCAGCCUGAGCUAUGUGAGACCCUAUGUAAGUACAAUUGGAACCUAACUGCUGAGCAGAGCAAAGGGGUAAGAAAAGCUGAGAUGGUUGAGCAGUUCUAACCACCCCCAUCCAGAACACAGCCUUUGAUCCUCGAAAGAAAUGCUUUCCAGAGUGUACACCUACUCAGUGGACCAGGAGACUGUUUCAGGAGCUGAGAAGUAGAACAAACAGAUAAAUAUUUGCAUCAAGCACUUUACCCACUGAGCUGCCUCAGCAGCCUAGUGUGUCUCCUUUUCAUCAUGAGACAUAAAACAUAUAGCAAAGUGAUGAGAACAGUAAUGUUCUCAUGGCCCAGAAACACUAUGCUUUCAUACAUGCCAGAAGGAAGUCAGAGUUAGGACUCAAAAAAAAAAAAAAAUGUGGUCUCGUUGCAUGGUAGCAGCUUUAUUCACAAACAGUAGAAGUGUGGAAGCGGCCAGCAUCCUUCCACAGAGAGCAAAGUAGACUAUAGCCACAGUGUGGAAUAUUAUUCAGUCUCACAAAAGAAUGAACUGCUGGUAUGUGUUACAGCAUGGAUCUUCAAAUCUCCAUGUUGGCAACAUUUUUAGUGUACUUGACAUUGCUGUACAAUUCAAUAAUUCACUCCUUUUUGGUGGUAAGAUGACAUUGUAUACCAUGCCUGUGCCUGCUCCUUUGUCUCUUUUUAAAUUAUUUACACUUGUUUACC
rnacentral:lncRNA from 1 species